rnacentral:rRNA from 1 species
AUUGAACGCUGGCGGCAUGCCUUUCACAUGCAAGUCGAACGGUAACAGGUCCUCGGAUGCUGACGAGUGGCGAACGGGUGAGUAAUACAUCGGAACGUGCCCGAGAGUGGGGGAUAACGAAGCGAAAGCUUUGCUAAUACCGCAUACGAUCUCAGGAUGAAAGCAGGGGACCGCAAGGCCUUGCGCUCACGGAGCGGCCGAUGGCAGAUUAGGUAGUUGGUGGGAUAAAAGCUUACCAAGCCGACGAUCUGUAGCUGGUCUGAGAGGACGACCAGCCACACUGGGACUGAGACACGGCCCAGACUCCUACGGGAGGCAGCAGUGGGGAAUUUUGGACAAUGGGCGCAAGCCUGAUCCAGCCAUGCCGCGUGCAGGAUGAAGGCCUUCGGGUUGUAAACUGCUUUUGUACGGAACGAAAAGACUCCUUCUAAUAAAGGGGGUCCAUGACGGUACCGUAAGAAUAAGCACCGGCUAACUACGUGCCAGCAGCCGCGGUAAAAC